AAUCAACGCUGGCGGCGUGCCUCAGACAUGCAAGUCGAACGCGAAAGGUUCCUUCGGGGACCGAGUAGAGUGGCGCACGGGUGAGUAACACGUAGGUAAUUUGCCUUUGGGUGGGGAAUAACUCAGGGAAACUUGAGCUAAUACCGCAUAAUGCAGCGGCUCGACAUCGAGACAGUUGUUAAAGCGGGGGAUUCGCAAGAACCUCGCGCCUAAAGAGAAGCCUGCGGCAGAUAGCUAGUUGGUAAGGUAAUGGCUUACCAAGGCGACGAUCUGUAACCGGCCUGAGAGGGCGGUCGGUCACACUGACACUGACAUACGGGUCAGACUCCUACGGGAGGCAGCAGUCGGGAAUUUUGGGCAAUGGGCGAAAGCCUGACCCAGCAACGCCGC
rnacentral:rRNA from 1 species